rnacentral:rRNA from 1 species
GACGAACGCUGGCGGCGUGCCUAACACAUGCAAGUCAAGGAGAAUUCCCGACUUGUCGGGAUAGUAAACUGGCGAACGGGUGAGUAACACGUAGGUAAUCUGCCCUCGGGAUCGGGAUAACCUCGCGAAAGUGGGGAUAAUACCGAAUAAAGUCUCGGUAUAAUUUGUCGAGAUGAAAGAUGGGGAUCUUCGGACCUAUUACCUGAGGAUGAGCCUGCGCCUGAUUAGCUAGUUGGUAGGGUAAAUGCCUACCAAGGCAACGAUCAGUAGCUGGUCUGAGAGGAUGAUCAGCCACAUUGGGACUGAGAUACGGCCCAGACUCCUACGGGAGGCAGCAGUGAGGAAUUUUGCGCAAUGGGCGAAAGCCUGACGCAGCAACGCCGCGUGACUGAUUAAGCUCUGAGGAGUGUAAAAGUCUGUCGUAGAGGAAGAAACUAUCCGAUAAGAAUAUUGUCGGAUACUGACGGUACUCUAUGAGAAAGCUCCGGCUAA